GUAGGGGAUAUUGGACAAUGGGGGCAACCCUGAUCCAGCGACGCCGCGUGAGUGAUGAAGGCCUUCGGGUCGUAAAGCUCUGUUGCAGGGGAAGAACACAAUGACGGUACCCUGCUAGAAAGGAUCGGCUAACUUCGUGCCAGCAGCCGCGGUAAGACGAGGGAUCCUAGCGUUGUUCGGAAUUAUUGGGCGUAAAGCGGGUGCAGGUGGCUUGGUAAGUCAGAUGUGAAAGCCUGGGGCUUAACCCCAGAAGUGCAUUUGAUACUGCUGAGCUUGAGUGCUGGAGAGGCUAUUAGAAUUCCUGGUGUAGUGGUGAAAUACGUAGAUAUCAGGAGGAAUACCGGAGGCGAAGGCGGAUAGCUGGCCAGACACUGACACUCAGACCCGAAAGCGUGGGGAUCAAACAGGAUUAGAAACCCGUGUAGUCC
rnacentral:rRNA from 1 species